AGUGAACGCUGGCGGUAGGCCUAACACAUGCAAGUCGAACGGCAGCACAGGAGAGCUUGCUCUCUGGGUGGCGAGUGGCGGACGGGUGAGGAAUACAUCGGAAUCUACUCUGUCGUGGGGGAUAACGUAGGGAAACUUACGCUAAUACCGCAUACGACCUACGGGUGAAAGCAGGGGAUCUUCGGACCUUGCGCGAUUGAAUGAGCCGAUGUCGGACUAGCUAGUUGGCGGGGUAAAGGCCCACCAAGGCGACGAUCCGUAGCGGGUCUGAGAGGAUGAUCAGCCACACUGGAACUGAGACACGGUCCAGACUCCUACGGGAGGCAGCAGUGGGGAAUAUUGGACAAUGGGCGCAAGCCUGAUCCAGCCAUACCGCGUGGGUGAAGAAGGCCUUCGGGUUGUAAAGCCCUUUUGUUGGGAAAGAAAUCCAGCUGGCUAAUACCCGGUUGGGAUGACGGUACCCAAAGAACAAGCACCGGCUAACUUCGUGCCAGCAGCCGCCGUAA
rnacentral:rRNA from 1 species